GUUAAGAUGGCAGAGACCGGUAAUUGCGUAAAACUUAAGUCUUUAUGACCAGAGGUUCAAUUCCUCUUCUUAACA
rnacentral:tRNA from 1 species